UGUUUUUCACAUUCCCGGUAAUGUAUUUUUAGCAUUGCGACUAGCGUUGGACUAUUUUGGUUUCCUGUUGUCCAACAGACUUAGAUCUAUAUUAUAGAUGGGCAUAUUGUUAUCUAGAGCGUCUAAUCUCCAGUAUUGAUUAUGGCUGCAAGGGAAAAGUUUUGUUAAAAUUUUGGUGUCUAGUCUUAAAUCUUGUUUAUAGUCUUCACACUUUUUAUGGAGAAAUUAUUUAACACAAAGUUUAUUCAACUUACUGGAUUGCUGUUAUCAAGCUGUUGUCAUCCACGAUAUCCCCUCGUCCUAUAUUGAUAAAAAUUGUUUUCUAAAAAAAAAAUUAUGUCACAUCAUCAUGUUGUAAAUAAAUUUUAAAAGUUUUAUUUCA